rnacentral:lncRNA from 1 species
AAAAUUUUACUUUCCUCAGCUUGCAACCUCAACAGCCUCAACCUCUCCAUCGCUGUAGUCUGCCCAGGAUUUGGGUUGCUCGGUUGCAAUCGGCUCUUCGGUAACAUCUUUUGCUGUCACUGCUUCUUCUGCAACUUCAGGAGCUGUGGUCUGUUCAGGUUCCACUUUUCCAUCUUUACUUUCUGUGUGGUUCGUGUCGUCUGUGUUCUGCUUUUCACCCCCAGCCUCAACAUUGACCCCGCAAGAUGCAUCAUUUCCUUCAGGACUGGUCUGGCUACAUUCAGAAACUUGUGGGGAUGCAGUUACCGGUGAUUCUACAGUACUAUCUGGAGAGGAUGGAAGGCCCUGUGGGGAAGAUGUAAUACCACCUGGUGAUGUUAAAGGACCAUUUGGAGAUGCUGGUUGUCCAUUAGGACUCCGAGAUUGGCCUGGCACAAACUCUGGAGCGUUAGGGUUCAUAACUCUGGGCGCAGAUGUGUUUGUUUCUGUAGGUGCUUCACCACUUGGCAACAUAGGCUUGUUACGAGGUCC